rnacentral:rRNA from 1 species
AUUGAACGCUGGCGGCACGCUUAACACAUGCAAGUCGAGCGGUAACAUGGUUAGUAGCAAUACUAAUUGAUGACGAGCGGCGGACGGGUGAGUAACACGUAGGAACCUGCACAGAAGCGGGGGACAACCAAGGGAAACUCUGGCUAAUACCGCGUAAUCUCGGUAGAGUAAAGCUGCCCGCAAGGGUGGCGCUUCUGGCGGGGCCUGCGUCGGAUUAGCUAGUUGGUGAGGUAAUGGCUCACCAAGGCUGUGAUCGGUAACUGGUCUGAGAGGACGACCAGUCACACUGGGACUGAGACACGGCCCAGACUCCUACGGGAGGCAGCAGUGGGGAAUCUUGGACAAUGGGGGCAACCCUGAUCCAGCGAUGCCGCGUGGGUGAAGAAGGCCUUCGGGUUGUAAAGCCCUUUAGGUUGGGAAGAAGUUCAUAGGCUGAAUGAUCUUAUGGAAUGACGGUACCAACAGAAUAAACACCGGCAAACUCUGUGCCAGCCGCCGCGGUAA